GUAAAUAUACAGUACAAUCACUGUCCAGUUUAUUAGAAACAUCUAGCUAAAACUAAUGCAGUCUAAUACAACAGUCCUGCAAUAAAUCUCCUUCAUUAAAGUUAUAAUGUUCAGAGAGGCGUUGAUUUAACUUCAUCGUCAUUUUGGAGGCUGUAGUUUGUGGUGCUGUUGAACUGAAACAGGUGUUUCUGUUAUUCUGUCCACCCCAUGUAUAUCAGUGAGUGCAGGUUAAAUGACAGAAACACGUCUCUGAAACAGUUUGAACUCAAACUGAACAUUUAAACCUUGAUGAAGGAGAUUUAUUGCAGGACUGUCAGACUGCAUUAGUUUCAGGUGUUCCUAAUAAACUGGACACUGAGUGUUUGCUGCUGCUGCUGACUGUGAUAUUUGAGUUCUCUGAAAGUUCAUGUAUGUUGAUGUUUCUAACUGAUGAUGAACUUGUAUCGUGUCAUUUCCUGCAGAGCUGAAUCAUUUCUGUCCAAACGUUUGAAUAAAACAUGAAAAAUGUCAAACUGUA